rnacentral:lncRNA from 1 species
GGGAGAUACAAAGAAAAAAUACAGAAGAGGAAAGAAGUGGAUGAUGGAUUAUAAAGGAGAGGGAAUUCAUUUACAGAAAAGAGUUUGACUUGUGAUACUGAUUGACCUGCCUCUUUGAGGUACAUUCCAUAGUGGUGGAAAUUUUCACCUACCAAAAUAACAAGGCCAAUUUAAGCUGCUUGGUGCCAAGACAGUCAUGUGGGCUGAAGAGAAACUGCAGCAUUAGGUGCAUGCAGUGCCACAAAAACAAGCAACAUAAAUAGGGUCAUCCUGAGACUUCCAAAGAGGUUGUCAAGACUACAGCUACAGUUUACCAAGAAUCUGCUUUUGCUCCAUGGGGAGGGCUUAAACUUGGAGAUCAAAGUGUCAUGAUGAACACUUAGCUGGCAUGGAUUUCUGACAUGAAAAAUCAUCAAGUGCUAUCCUUUGCUGGACUGUGGCUCACCAUUCCUCUCAUUAGGCACAUGGCCAGGCUCCAUGGGGUAUGUGGAAGCUGCAAAGACUAACAUCUGGAUGUUUGUACAGGGGCUAAGCUGCUCAGGGGAAGAUCAGAUCAACAUGCAAGGGCAAAUAACAGGAAAAACUCACUGCAAAGAGGAGUGGCAGCUGUCAGAAAGUAGGGGUUACUGCUUGGGGCAAGCCUAUUUCUUAGAAGAAGAGUACGCUUUCCUGCAGUGAAAUAAUUAUUGUUUCUGAGAGACAGGAACCACUACAGAAUCACUUUUCAAUCUGCAAAAUCCAAGCAGUGACCACUUCAAAGCAAGAUAAAAGGAGACGUUGAUCUGCUUUAGCCUCUGACUGUUCCUAGAGUUUUCUACUUCUUGAAGACUUUCCUGGCAAAGGAAGUAUUGCUACAAGUGGAAGGAAGAAGCCUGCUGUGCUCUUCUCUGAAGAUAUGUCUUCUCCUUAAGCCUUCUAUCAGCAUGUGUCACAGUGGCAUUUUGCAAAUUUGCUGUGCAUUCCUACACACCAAAUGUUUAUUACUCAUUUUAAGAUGUUUCAUCAGAACAUGGGAAAAUAUGCUAAGGUAUCUGGCCCAGCUGUAUAUAGAAGGUGAUUCAGUCCAGUGUAACCAGUUUUAAAAAAAAUGUCCCUGCUUGUCCACCUUGGUGUGGUCUUGGAAAGCCUACGCCAGGGAUGAAAGCUGCUGACAUGCUUUUGAAGCAGGUUUCAGGGCAUACAUAUGCCAUUCCUGUGUGAAGUUCAGGCUCUUCAGGUAUGUAGAAAUCAGGAUACUCUUGCAGAGGUCAAAUGAACAGAGAAGUAGAGACCAGAGAGGACCAAGGAACAAAAGGGCUGCACUGCAGCUGAAAAUUCAUCCUACUCUCUUUGGAAUUGAGCAAAUCUCUUCCAAAGUGUAUAUUGCUAAUUUCCUGUUUAUCACAGAGGAAAAGAUAUGGACUUGAGCAUGAAUCUGUGGUCCUUAACCAGACUGCACCAGCUAGGAAGACUUGGUGAUUUGUUUGCUGUUGGAGAAAGACUCUUCAAUAUUUCUCCUUGAAAUCAGGUACCUUCUCACCAAGAACUUAGCAGAAGUAAUACUAUGAGUGGGUAGACAAAAGUGAUGUAGGGAAAAACAGAACUCUAAUACCACAAAGUGUUAAUACAGCAAAAUGCUACGCUGCUUUUCAAAAAGAGCACAUGCUGUCUAAUGGGACUUAUGUGCUUGCCUAAGCUAUGCAAAUACCACAUAGAUGUAUGUUGGGCCAGAACAAAAGCAGGACUUACAUGUUUGAUGAAAAGGCGGGUAGAAAGGAAAGAGGAAAGGUCAACAUUUAAAGGAAAAAAAGGAAAGGAAAACUUAUAUUGUGAGACAGGAGCUUGUAUUGUGGAGACAGGGAGAUGAGAAUAUGGGAUACAAGACAGGAUAAAGGUGUCUUACCUGUUGUGUGACCCAGUGCAGUGCCAGAUACAUAGCACUAGUAAAACUGGGUCGUUUCUUCUUCUCUUUCACUUUUAUUUCUGUUUGCUUUCUCUUCUGUGUCAUCCUUGAGCAUCUUGCAGUUCUUCUACAGUUUUAGCGUAGCCUGCUGACCAGCACUAUACCGUUAAAGUCAGCCCUGUGACAAGCUAUCAGGGUGAUCUCUGGUUCUUCUCUGUCCUUAGGUCCUGUAGCUGUCACUGUACUGGACAUGACGAAUGAGAGUCUCAGCCACAACCUUUGCUGGAGUUACAAGGAUGGGACUUAGAACUCCCUGAUCCUGUUUCGGGCUUUGCUGCCUUGCAGUUGUCAAAGUUGAGCAAUGUCCCUAGAGUUUCUGGUCACAAGCAGGCAAAGGCAUUCCUUGGUGCAGUACUGCUGCUGCCUGUGUCAAUGUUGUUGCAAAGGCAGAUUAAUUGGAGGUCUGUGGGAACCAUCUCCAAUCCAGAUAAUUCCACUUUAGCUGGAGCUUUUUGUUUUCUCAUUUUGGAAGGGUGCUCCAAAAAAACCCCCAAAAACAUUAUACUCUUAAAAUCAUUGCAGAGUUCAAAUAGGAAUCAAAACUGGUUUGAAUUAAACUUCUUGUGUAACCUCAGAUGUUAUUCUGUUGUACGUUGUCUUGCUUGCUGAAAUGUUUCUCUUUAAUUUUUUUCCCCUCAGCCAUAGGCACAUUAUCACUACAAGAGAUAAUGAGACUGAGUUCCCGUGGCUACCACACCAUGAAUCUGAACUGUCUCUUUACACCCCUAGGAAGCACUCCAUAGCCAUAGAUUGAGGCAGAAGCGUGAGGCUGUUCAUGUGGGAGGUUUGUCAUGCUGCUGUCCUAGAGAUAAGCAGAAAGCUUCACUGAACAAAGCUGCACUAGCAUUAACCACACAGCUCUUAGAGACAGCGCAUAGGCACAUCCUAAUUAAUCAUAAUUAUGCAAACUCAGGCAUUUGCAUAUAGCACCGUGCACGGAGUUGCAGGGAAUUUGGCAGUGAUGCCUCCUUGCUGUGACUCAGCCAAGAAGGGAACCUCAGCACCUGCCCCAGGAAAUCAGACAGAGACGAGACCCUGGGCUCUCCCAGCUGGGAACAAGGGAAAAAAACAAAGGCUUGCUUAAGGUUGCGGUGUAGCUUCUAUUUCCCUACUUAAUGAGGAAGCUACCUCUCUGCUUUAUACUUU